rnacentral:misc_RNA from 1 species
AUCAUGAAACCCACUUGCCAAGAAUGUAACCUUGGAAUUAUCUGAAUUAAGCUUAUGUUUGAUUGAUUAUAGUCUUUUUUAAUUGUAUCUGAAAGUAGAAUUAUCCAAUAAGUCAAUAGCAUUUGUCAGAAGGGUCAUUUUCCCGUUUCUGAGUAGAAUGUCUCGACAUGAGGGGGUCAGCUGUGAUUCUUGUCUGAAGGGAAACUUUCGCGGGCGUCGCUACAAAUGUCUGGUGUGCUACGACUAUGACUUGUGCUCAACCUGCUUUGAGGCUGGUGCUACAACAACCAGGCACACAGCUGACCACCCGAUGCAAUGUAUUCUCACCAGGAAUGAUUUUGAUUUGUACUAUGGAGGAGAAGCUUUAACAGCAGAACAACCUCAGUCUUUCACUUGUCCCUACUGUGGAAAGAUGGGCUACACAGAUGCCACACUUCAUGAGCACGUCACUGCAGAACACGGGGAGGCCUCCACAGAAGUCUGUCCUAUCUGUGCAUCACAUCCGGGUGGAGACCCAAACUGUGUGACUGAUGAUUUUGCAGAACAUCUCUCAAUACAACACAGAACACCAGGAUCCAAUUGCCGAGCUUCUGUCUCAAUUGUCCAGUGUUCGCAGUCGAGCUGCGGCAGCACAGAGUGUAUCUUCACAGCUACAACAGCUCGAGAUGCAGCUGCAGUCUACAAGUUUGGAGAGCUCACAACACUCUUAUCUACCCUACAGACAACAACUAGAGAGACUACCGAACAGGCGGCAGGUGGAGUCUAGUAAAAGUAAUGUGACUAAUUCAGCGAAUUCAGGGAGCUCGACAGAUAACCAAGGCGGACAGGCACAGACCAGUGCCAACAACGCUGCCAAGUCUAACUCUCCGUAUUUGUUGGUUAGGUGUAUGGAGAAUGCAGAUAAUGCCAGCAAGAGUAUCGGUCAGGAGGCAUAUGAUAGGAGUAUAUUUGUACAAGAACUGUUGUUGUCAACUUUAACAGAGCAACUUCAUGUGUUAGAGGAGACAUCAGUCUGUAUAGAGGAAGAGGCUCCGCGGUUAUCUCCCCCUAGUGAUGAGGCACCUGAGAGUGUGUCACCUUCAAAUUCGAGCACUCACAACAAAGUUCCUCCUACAAAGCCAUCUACGUCGGAGAAAAGUAGUUCUACAACGUUGGCCAAAGCACAACAGCCCACUGGCGGAGGAGGAGGGGGUGGUAUGGCCGCCAACGGAUCGGGGGUGACGUCAUCAAGCUCACGAGGGGGACCGUCUCAAGGCGCCUCGCCCGUCGUCCGCCAGGGUCACAGUUCUCACGGAGGAGUACAGCAAAUGUACAAUUCACACUCUGGGGGUAAUUCUAUGUCUGCACUAGCAGGGGCCAGCAUGAGUAAUCCCGUGCCAUUGCCGGGGCGACCCCUCUCGGGGGGCAGAGAGAGAGACAAUAGAAUGAACCCUGCUGCUGUCAAGAAAACAAUGUUCAAGCCCAUGCCAACAUCUCAAAUGUCAGAUCGGGAACCCCCACCCCAUUGAGAGUGACAGUGGAGUCCUACCUGUAUUCAAAGCAUCUUAAAAUCCAAAAGACAGUGGAUAUGUGUUAGGAUAUAUAUUUAUUUGCUUGUAAAAUAAUGAUUUUUUUUUGUUUCAUUGAUCUAUUAAUUCAUGAAAAAAAUUGUAGUGUAACUUGUCGAUAUUCAUUUAAGAAAAAAUUAUACGCCAAGUUGUGUAUACAUCUUAUGAAAAAGUGGCAGAUGGUAAUAUCAUUUGCUAAUGUGGUUUUCUCUUUUCUAAAUGUGUACUGUGUGUACAUUUUCUUAUAUCAUGAUAAUUUAUCUGUUCCCCAAUAUUGGAUUUGCCUAUCCGCUGUGAUAUAUAGAUGUGCUAUCCAUUUAUGCUAAACUUAGGAGACAGUACUACAAGGCCAUUCCAAUCUAAUGUUUUGUUUUUCAAGUAGCAAGAAAGAGAUCAGUAUGUGAUUUAUAACCCAAACCAUCACCGAGUUUGUGCUCUGCAGGAAAAAAAAACUGUACAUGUAUUAUACCCUGCUAUACAUGUAGUUAAUGUAUUUCAUUUGAUUUUCAAGUACGAGAAACUUACUUUGUUGAUACAGUUCAUUUCUGUUUAAAAUUUCAAAUCUUUACAUUGAUUGGAAAAGCAAAGAUUUGAAUGAAGUUAUAGCAUGUGCACAGUAUUUCUCAGAAGUACCUUUUUAUCACAUUCGGCUAUUUAGUGUCCUUUUUAUAAAUUAAAAAAGGUCACUUGGUAGUUUAGUAAUUUACAUGUUGCUUUAGGAAGUAAAACUUUGAACAAGAUGUGUUGUCUUGUGUAAAUCAAAACUCUAUCCUUUCUGAAAAAGCACUGUGAAUGUGGAAUUCCUAGCGAAAUAAAAGUUUUGAUUUACAAUUUCUUUACUAUUUUUCCAAGAAUCUGGAGGGUUGAUUUGGUUUUUUUUUUUUUUUUUUUUUUUGGUUCAUGAAUGAAAUGUUUUGAAUUGUUCCAUGAAAUUGUAAUGACCUAUUACAGGGAAAGUACUGGAGGAAUGUCGACUGGUGAUUUGAAAAUUUUAUAUUAAAAUUUGAACAAGUACUUGCAAUUAAUCAAAUGCAUACACUUGUUUGUUUAUAUAAAUGUGUACCCAUGUGAUCUAUAAUCUAACUGGCUUUUACUGUAUGGUUGUCAUACACUAAGAAGAUUGUUCAUAUUACUUUUGUUGUUGCUUAGUCGUUCCACAUCAAUGCUGUAUCUAUCCACACAGGAAAAUUGAUAAACCCAAAAAUGAAAUCAAAUGCUAUGUAUCCUUAUUAUAGAAGAAACCAUCUCAACACAAUUUUUUUAUAUAAAGUUAUGACUCUUAAACAGAUGUGAUCAAAAUCAAUCGAGCAUUGUUUGUUCAUGUACUCCAGAGCACAUUUCUCUCUCUUUUUCUAAAUGAUAGAAAGCCAUCGGGAAUCUGUUCUGUUUUUUGUAAUGUAGACCGAUUGUAUGUUGUCUUGCAUUGGGGAAAAGUAUUGAGGUUUACAUUGAGCACGAAGUCUUGUGUCUGGGUUAUUAGUAAGUAAGAGAGUGAGGAGUUCUUUGAAAAUGGAAUAAAUUCCUAAUGUAAAAUU